rnacentral:rRNA from 1 species
GAUCCUGGCUCAGGAUGAACGCUAGCUACAGGCUUAACACAUGCAAGUCGAGGGGCGGCAUGGUCUUAGCUCGCUAAGGCCGAUGGCGACCGGCGCACGGGUGAGUAACGCGUAUCCAACCUGCCUUACACUCUUGGACAGCCUUCUGAAAGGGAGAUUAAUACAAGAUGUUAUCAUGAGUAAGCAUUUUCGCAUGAUUAAAGGUUUACCGGUGUAAGAUGGGGAUGCGUUCCAUUAG